UACGGGGGGGGCAAGCGUUGUUCGGAAUUACUGGGCGUAAAGGGCUCGUAGGCGGCCAACUAAGUCAGACGUGAAAUCCCUCGGCUUAACCGGGGAACUGCGUCUGAUACUGGAUGGCUAGAGUUUGGGAGAGGGAUGCGGAAUUCCAGGUGUAGCGGUGAAAUGCGUAGAUAUCGGGAGGAACACCAGUGGCGAAGGCGAGUCUCUGGGCUGAUACCGACGCUGAGGCGCGAAAGCCAGGGGAGCAAACGGG
rnacentral:rRNA from 1 species